AGUGAACGCUGGCGGUAGGCCUAACACAUGCAAGUCGAACGGCAGCACAGUAAGAGCUUGCUCUUACGGGUGGCGAGUGGCGGACGGGUGAGGAAUACAUCGGAAUCUACUUUUUCGUGGGGGAUAACGUAGGGAAACUUACGCUAAUACCGCAUACGACCUACGGGUGAAAGCAGGGGAUCUUCGGACCUUGCGCGAUUGAAUGAGCCGAUGUCGGAUUAGCUAGUUGGCGGGGUAAAGGCCCACCAAGGCGACGAUCCGUAGCUGGUCUGAGAGGAUGAUCAGCCACACUGGAACUGAGACACGGUCCAGACUCCUACGGGAGGCAGCAGUGGGGAAUAUUGGACAAUGGGCGCAAGCCUGAUGCAGCCAUACCGCGUGGGUGAAGAAGGCCUUCGGGUUGUAAAGCCCUGUUGUUGGGAAAGAAAAGCAGCAGGUGAAUAUCCCGCUGUUCUGACGGUACCCAAAGAAUAAGCACCGGCUAACUUCGUG
rnacentral:rRNA from 1 species